UACGUAGGGGGCAAGCGUUGUCCGGAUUUAUUGGGCGUAAAGAGCUCGUAGGCGGUUUGGUAAGUCUGGUGUGAAAUCUCCACGCUCAACGUGGAGGGGCCACCCGAUACUGCCAUGACUGGAGUCCGGUAGAGGAGUGUGGAAUUCCCGGUGUAGCGGUGAAAUGCGCAGAUAUCAGGAGGAACACCGGUGGCGAAGGCGGGUCUCUGGGCCGAUACUGACGCUGAGGAGCGAAAGCGUGGGGAGCGAACAGG
rnacentral:rRNA from 1 species